GUUAUUCUUGACCACAAAAUCAAAAUGAUUUCACCAAUUUGUUACUGUUCGUUUUUGCUGGAAAUUGUGGACACCGCUCACCGCACACCGCACACACAUUCUUUCACACAGAUCACCCUCGCUUAGGAGGCGCCUCUCUCAGUCCGUUCCCGUGCUAGUCCAAUGGAACAAAGACCAGCCUUAUCAAUGUAUGCUUUCCUACUAGCCAAUGGCGCGACUCCUCAUAGCUCACAUGACAGAUUCCUCUCGCGUCUCUCCACACAGCGUUCAAUCGCGGGAUUCUAGCGUCACUGAAGAACCGAGUCCGGCGCGGCAGGACGUCAACGACAGCGCAACAAUUAUUAGGUAUGAAGACAAGUUUUCAAGGGACCAGACACAUUUUCGAAUGGACUGACUGUUGGCAGCGGAAAUUCUUGAGCCGUACGAUACUAUGAGUCAUCUUCAGUCAUCAUCUUCUAAAAUGAACCGUACGCUAUCAGAAAGCGGACAGGAAAAUGGAGAGAGGGAGAAGGAGAGGAUGAAGAGAAGUGGCCCGAAGGAAUGGAAGAAGCCCCAGAGCAGAACCAGAGGGAGGGAGGGAUAACUGCUGUGACAUGAAAGAGUGAUAGAGCAGAUCACAGAAGACCUCAAGACCUUUCAGCUGUGGGGCCAGUAGACAUACGCGCUCCUGGAGCCAGAGGACAAGACCAGGGGCAAGAAGAGACCGUCUGCAUUCAUUUCCAAGCCUUUCGUCUCUCUACACACUUUUUCAACCCGGGGUGCAAAUAUGAAACGGGUUUCAGUCAUUGAAGUAGAAUGUAACAACAACAAAAAGGAAUCGAGUGUCUUCUGUGAAACAUUAAAUAGCCAUCCUCCUGAUAACCCGGUAAAGAGAGCUGUCUGAAAAGUGACUUGAGAUAUGAGGGAUAAUGGCUGUGUCUUUGUAGUGUCCUUCUUGCUCUCAGAGAGAGAGAGAGGAAAUGAUAGGCCCAGUCGCCCGCUGUGCUCAUCUCUCUGAAUCUCCAAGCGUCAGACUGUCAACCUUGUUCCCUAUCAGCCCCCGUUCGCCCCGGUGAACAUUCAACGCUGUCGGUGAGUUUUGAGCUAAAUUGACAAAGACCAUCGACCGUUGAUUGUACCCUGUGGCCAGCCCUUUUCGCUUGAUGAUCGACGUGCAUGGCUACUAACUCAUUAUAACCAGAGUAAGAACACUAUGGUCCCAUCUGCCACACCACUACCACACCCUGCCCCCUCCACCCACGCCCCACCACUACCACUACCACGCCCCACCACUAACCCAACCCAGCCCCCUCCACCCAACCCAGCCCCCUCCACUCCACCCACCCCAGCCCCCAUCCUGUAUCCUUCCUUCAGAACAACUCUGCUGAAAGAAAAGCCUCUGGCCCCAAACCACAACAAAGGUCACAAUCAACAUUCAUUGCUGUCGGUGGGUUUAACUAUGUGGAAAAACUCGCUGAACAAUGAAUGCAACUGUGUCCCAGAUUUUCACAGCAAUCGACCAUCAGAGGGGAUCUCGUUCUGAUAUGCUGAUUCUGGUAUGUAUGUAUGUAUGUAUGUAUGUAUGUAUGUAUAUAUAUAUAUAUAGUAUGUAUGUACAGUAUUGAAUGAGAAUGUAAGUAUGACACUGCGUCAUAUCUCAUCUUGAUCAUGCUCGUGGAGACUUCUUAUGUGACUAUGGGAGAGGGAGAGAAUAAAAUGUAUAUUUCAUAUGA